CAGUAGCCACGGGAAUACGUAGGUGGCAAGCGUUGUCCGGAAUUAUUGGGCGUAAAGGGCUCGCAGGCAGUUUCUUAAGUCUGAUGUGAAAGCCCCCGGCUCAACCGGGGAGGGUCAUUGGAAACUGGGAAACUUGAGUGCAGAAGAGGAGAGUGGAAUUCCACGUGUAGCGGUGAAAUGCGUAGAGAUGUGGAGGAACACCAGUGGCGAAGGCGACUCUCUGGUCUGUAACUGACGCUGAGGAGCGAAAGCGUGGGGAGCGAACAGGAUUAGAUACCCCGGUAGUCCCUGUCUCUUAUAC
rnacentral:rRNA from 1 species